AUUGAACGCUGGCGGCAUGCUUUACACAUGCAAGUCGGACGAGCGGCGAACGGGUGAGUAACAUAUCGGAACGUACCUAGUAAUGGGGGAUAACUAAUCGAAAGAUUAGCUAAUACCGCAUACUAUUAGAGCGGCCGAUAUCUGAUUAGCUGGUGGGUGGGGUAACGGCCUACCAAGGCGACGAUCCGUAGCGGGUCUGAGAGGAUGAUCAGCAACACUGGGACUGAGACACGGCCCAGACUCCUACGGGAGGCAGCAGGGGUGAAUUUUGGACAAUGGGCGCAAGCCUGAUGCAGCCAUGCCGCGUGUCUGAAGAAGGCCUUCGGGUUGUAAAGUACUUUUGUCAGGGAAGCGGUACCGGAAGAAGAAGCACCGGCUAACUACGUGCCAGCAGCCGCGGUAAUAC
rnacentral:rRNA from 1 species